CUGCGGUGAUGACUUCUCUUAGGACACCUUUGGAUUUAACUGUGAAAAAAAAAAAGCGUGAUUUCUGAGCAGC
rnacentral:snoRNA from 1 species